CACAAACCCAAACCCUAAACCAGAACGGUCGAUGACAAACCCUCAUUCCUGGACUCCAUAGCCGCUCUCUCCUCCUCCUCCCCCAGACCCUUCGUUGCUCGCUCACCCGCCCAUGUUCCUCCCCGUCUUUAUACGUUGCUGGGGACGCACUGCGCGCGUCGUCUCUUGCUACAACAUGAAGCGAGGGAGCUAUUUCGUCUUGGUCACCACUGAAGCACUCGAGUGGGUGCUUAGGUAAGUGUAGCCAAGUCGCGGCAAGUGGAGGUGCUCCCUUGGCAACAUCAAGCUUUUGCUCGAGGAUUUUGAUCCAUAAAGUAGCGGAAAAGAAAACAAGAGCAAAUUGAGCUUUCUAGUAUUUUGCAGCGAUCACCAGGUGAUGGAGCUCUUGGGCUUGGAUGAGCAUCGACAGAAGGAAGAAAAGCCCUCCAUGACACUGGGUGGAAGAGGAAGAGUGAAGGGAGGAAGCACGUUCUUUGGGCUGUCCACACCCUCGUUGCCAGAAGCAAACGAUUUUGCCAAUGCGGUCUGUUGCUUGUUUAGUCCUUCCAUGAUGAAUGAGAAGGCUCCAAAAGUGAGGCAGCUCUGAAGCAGAGCAUGGGGUGCCCCUGGAAGACAAUAAAAAGUGUCAAAAACAAAGAAAAUGUAGUGAACAGAGGCAAAUUAGUUUUGCAAGCUUCAUUCAUGUAAGAGCUAUGGCUGUAACACUUCAGUUCAGCGAUUACACAGACCAAAAUUUGGUCUUUAUUUUUCA